rnacentral:rRNA from 1 species
UACGAAGGGUGCCAGCGUUACUCGGAAUUACUGGGCGUAAAGAAUGCGUAGGCGGAUUUGCAAGUUGGAAGUGAAAUCCCUGGGCUCAACCUAGGAAUGGCUUUCAAAACUGCAGAUCUUGAAUGUGACAAUGAGUAGGGGAAUUCCUGGUGUAGGGGUAAUAUCCGCAGAUAUCAGGAGGAAGACCGGAAGCGAAAGCGCUUACUUAGGUCAAUAUUGACGCUGAUGCAUGAAAGCGUGGGGAGCAAACAGG